rnacentral:rRNA from 1 species
UACGGAAGGGGGCUAGCGUUGCUCGGAAUUACUGGGCGUAAAGGGCGCGUAGGCGGAUACUUAAGUCGGGGGUGAAAGCCCGGGGCUCAACCUCGGAAUUGCCUUCGAUACUGGGUAUCUUGAGUUCGGGAGAGGUGAGUGGAAUGCCGAGUGUAGAGGUGAAAUUCGUAGAUAUUCGGCGGAACACCAGUGGCGAAGGCGACUCACUGGCCCGAUACUGACGCUGAUGCGCGAAAGCGUGGGGAGCAAACAGG